UGAACAUACCUCUGGUGUUUCGGUUGUUGCGCCAGCAGCAUUGCCGAGUAGCCAAGUAUGGAUGAGAUAAACACUGAAAGCAUAUAAGUGUGAAACUCGCCUCAAGAUAAGGUUUCCCCGAAGGGCACUUGUAGACUACAAGUUUGAUAGGAUGGAAGUGUAAGUGCAGUAAUGUAUUGAGCUAACCAUUACUAAUUGCCCGUUCGGCUUGGUCAC
rnacentral:rRNA from 1 species